GCGUUCGUGGUGUAGUGGUGAGCACGCUUGACGCGUUUUCGAGAGGUCCGUGGUUCAAAUCCCGGCGAGGGCA
rnacentral:tRNA from 1 species